ACUAUAUCAAGCGCAGUAAUUCAUAAAUUCCAUCUUGACUGGAGAUUGUGAGGAGCUCUUCUAUGAUUUGACAAUGCAGUUAUGAAGGGGAAGACACCAUGCAAAUACUUGAGUUGGCUUGGCCCAUGCCCAGGAAUGACCACGGGCAGUUUGGAGGCUGAAGGCAAGAUGGAGCUGCUUAGAUCCGAUCUCUUCCACUGGUAUAAUUUGCUCGCUGUUAAAAUUUUUACAAAGGCACUUUCAAAAUCUGAAAAGAUUAUUAAAUCAUUUAUUUGUUCCAUUAGUUCUGUCAUUUUUUUGCUUCUUGUAUUUUGGAACUCUGUUGUUAAGUGCAUACAUAUUUGUAAUUGCUGUAUCUUCCUGAUGGAUUGGUAUUAUAAUUACUGUAAAAUACACUAUUAUCAUUGUAAAAUAUUCCUUUUUAUCGCUAGUAUUUUUUGUCUGAUUUAAAGUCUAUUUGGUUUGAUAUUAGCAUACGUAUUGUUGCUGUUAUUAUGGCAAUUUUUGUGAUAACCUUUUUCUUUUACCCUAUUUAUGUCUUUGAAUCUAAAAUUUGUCUCCUGAAGAUACUAUAAGGUUGGAUAAUUUUUAGUUUUUUUGAUCAUUUAAUUCAUUCAUUUUUCAUGUCACUGUUGAUGUGGCUGGAUUUGUUUCUGCAAUUUUAAUUUUUGUUUUCUAUAUGUCUCAUGUCUUCGUGGCUUUGUUCCUUCUUUAUAUCUUUCUUUUGCAUUAAGUGAGUAUUUUCUGGUUAACUUAAUUUCUUAAAUUAUUUUUAACAAUAUUUUUACUUAUUUCCUUAGUGAACACUUGAGGGCUCACAAUCUCCUCAGUUUAUCAGAAUCUACUUAGGUUUAUAUUAACUUAUGUCCAGUAAGAUAUAAACACAUUUCUUCCUUAUAGCUCUAGGCCCUCUUGCUUGUUUUUGUGCUAUUAUUGUGACACUUAUUACCUCUGUAUACCCAAGAAUACUAUUAUACUUAUUUAUGUAAUUUUAUGAGACUGGAAAUGAGGGAAGUAGGGCGUGCAGGAAGGAGGGAAGGAAGAGGAACGAAAAGCGUAUGAAAGUAGGGCUGCACCUCCAUUAGUGGAUGCCCUGAGCUUAUCCGGGGACCUUUGUGAACUCCCACUGACAACUCUUAGAAGGUGAAAUCCCCCUUUCCUGCAUCAUAUUAGAACAGUGCAUCUGGGAGGCCUUCCCUUGCCUUUCACCAGGUGACCCUAUAGCAGAGGCAGAAUUCUCGAUUGUGAGCAUUUCCAAAUGGCUCCAAGUACUCCUAGUUCUCAUCACAGACUUUUCUGUGAUAGUCAAAUAUUGUUCCACUUACUGCAGUUUCUCACAAUCUGGGUUCUGUUCAGUUGAAAUUAAAUAAAUUUUAUGCACAAACCUUUCA
rnacentral:lncRNA from 13 species